UCGUCUCGCGGAUGGGUUAGC
rnacentral:siRNA from 1 species